rnacentral:rRNA from 1 species
CAGUCGCCACGGUAAAACGUAGGUGGCAAGCGUUGUCCGGAAUUAUUGGGCGUAAAGCGCGCGCAGGUGGUUUAAUAAGUCUGAUGUGAAAGCCCACGGCUCAACCGUGGAGGGUCAUUGGAAACUGUUAAACUUGAGUGCAGGAGAGAAAAGUGGAAUUCCUAGUGUAGCGGUGAAAUGCGUAGAGAUUAGGAGGAACACCAGUGGCGAAGGCGGCUUUUUGGCCUGUAACUGACACUGAGGCGCGAAAGCGUGGGGAGCAAACAGGAUUAGAUACCCGGGUAGUCCCUGUCUCUUAUAC